GAGGAUAUGGAGGAUAUGGAAGAUAUGGAAGAUAUGGAGGAUAUGGGGGAGGAUAUGGUUACGGAAAAAGAGAUAUAAGUGAAGAUUUUUCUUCAGAUAAAAUAAGUGAUUAUGGUGGUUAUGGAGCAUAUGGCGGUGGUGGAUACGGUA